rnacentral:lncRNA from 1 species
AUUUUUUCCCUCUAUUUUUGACAACCAUCAGCUGCUUUUGUUUCUCACAGUAUUCAGUAUUUGAGAAGCUGAAUUCAAACCACUGGUUAAAAAUGACAAAGUAUCUGAAAGGAUCAAUUUUGACUUAUCUGAGUGUUUUUCCUCGGCUGUCAAGAUUAGCAUUCUUCUGCUGUGACUUGAAAAGUGCCCAAGAGAGAGCAACUACAUAUUUCAGACAAAGAACUUAGGAAGAAGAAGGAUGUUUGUUCAUAGCAAAAGGAAACAUUAUGGAUGUAUUGUCCUGUAUUUAUGAAGAAUCAAAGAUUUUCUCAACGAGGCUGGCACUUCUGAUGAGGAAACACAUCGAGGAGUUGGCAGCUCUAAGUGUCACAGAAAUAUCUGUAAGCCUUCUUAGGGUUGAGCUCCAGAAGAGAUAAGCACCGAGAACUAAGUGCCUGGCAUAUAAAUGGUACCCUAGAGAGAGUUUUUGGAUGAACGAAUCAUUAUUUACCCCAGACAAGUUCCACCAUUUCUUUUGAAAACAGCAUGGCCCUUCUCUGAUAUGUUGGAGACAUAGACGAGCUCCAUUAUCCCAGUUUAAAAGAUGUCUAUGAUAGUUGAGAACGGAUGGAAGGAAGAGAUUUGCAUGUGAUCAUAAAGAAAGCCAAAAUUAAUUACAUUAAAUGAUUGCCUGUAAUAGAACUUUUGAACUAUAUCACACAUAUCGAC